GCUGGCGGCACGCCUUAUACAUGCAAGUCGAACGAAGUAGCAAUACUUAGUGGCAGACGGGUGAGUAACAUGUAGGUAUCUUCCCUUUGGUGAGGAAUAACACGAGGAAACUUGUGCUAAUACCUCAUAAGUCUUUACGGAGAAAGCUUUAUGCGCCAAAGGAUGAGCCUGCACUUGAUUAGUUUGUUGGUGGGGUAAUGGCCUACCAAGACUUUGAUCUAUAGCUGAUCUGAGAGGAUGAUCAGCCACAUUGGGACUGAGACACGGCCCAAACUCCUACGGGAGGCAGCAGUAGGGAAUAUUGCACAAUGGAGGAAACUCUGAUGCAGCGAUGCCGCGUGAGUGAAGAAGGCCUUUGGGUUGUAAAGCUCUUUCGUCGGGGAAGAAAAUGACUGUACCCGAAUAAGAAGGUCCGGCUAACUUCGUGCCAGCAGCCGCGGUAAUACGAAGGGACCUAGCGUAGUUCGGAAUUACUGGGCUUAAAGAGUUCGUAGGUGGUUAAAAAAGUUGGUGGUGAAAUCCCAGAGCUUAACUCUGGAACUGCCAUCAAAACUAUUUAGCUAGAGUAUGAUAGAGGAAAGCAGAAUUUCUAGUGUAGAGGUGAAAUUCGUAGAUAUUAGAAAGAAUACCAAUUGCGAAGGCAGCUUUCUGGAUCAUUACUGACGCUGAGGAACGAAAGCAUGGGUAGCGAAGAGGAUUAGAUACCCUCGUAGUCCAUGCCGUAAACGAUGUGUGUUAGACGUUGGAAAUUUAUUUUCAGUGUCGCAGCGAAAGCAUUAAACACACCGCCUGGGGAGUACGACC
rnacentral:rRNA from 1 species